rnacentral:tRNA from 1 species
GGGCCGGUGGUCUAGCCUGGUUAGGAUACCGCCUUGACAUGGCGGGGGUCAGGAGUUCGAAUCUCCUUCGGCCCA